CUUUUUUCAGAUCUAUAUUCUGCUUAUAUCUCGACCAAACACAAAAGUUGUGGCCCAGUUAAUAGCCACAUAGAAUCUAUUCCUCCAGCUUAUCACACGUGUUAGAUAUGCAGAGCGCCAUACAAACCAACUGAUAAAUCCUGCCAGAGAAAUCCCUUUGGCCUCUUUGCUCUGUCUAAGAUCAACCAAAGCCUUGAAGCUGCCAAUGGUUGCCAUGCUUCCCAGAUGUCUGUAAACAAAUGGAUCCCCCAAUUCUACAUCUUUAGCACCAUAUGCAUGCCCCCCACCAGCUAUACCAAUUUUGUUUAAGAGACUUGAAAGAUAUUUUCCUUGCCGUUCGGCAACCUGAGCCAAAGCAGGAAGGACUGUUUUACCAGUGCUUUCAAGAAAGCCACUGCAGUCACCAAUAGCAAACACAUCC
rnacentral:misc_RNA from 1 species